AUUUGGAAACUUGAAUCCCGUUAAAAUGACCAUUUCACUUUUACACGAGACUUUUUGCUUCUCUUAUUCCGUUGAGUUUCGAGCUCGCUCUUCACACUGACUCGAGAAUAUGUUUUCAGCAGCAACUCGAUAAAUUCGAUGUACUUGAUCGAAAUUACCGAAAUUCAGUCAGGUAUGCGAAUACUGCAUCAACGAAAAUGAUAAUAAGUGUCGGUAACGUGCAGUUAUAGCUUGAUCAGCACGAGUAUAGGCCCAACAAAGGUAGUUUUUCCAUAUAUAGGUAUCAAUUCCGAACCGGAGAGUGUAAGCAACUGGUGUUUGCAGGCAUGAGCUUAAAAUGUCGAUAUCGUACAAUAUUCAAAAUGAUCGAACCCACAUACACGAAAGCCAACAUCUUCUAAUCAGCGAUUUUCAUCGAAGCAACCAGCGCACCCUCUGCGCAUACACUUUUUCCCUCUCAUCCGCGCGUUCGAGCCAGAAGCUUGUCCCACACUCUGCAGCUAUCCUCGAUGUCACGAUGAUGGACGAACACAAGGCGAGUAUGUAAGGUAUCUCCACAGCCCAGUUGGCUCCGAAACUACCGAUGGUCGAGAUCAUGAACGACAUAACUGCAAAUCCAUUUUAUACUGAUGAUGCUUGUGUGAAUAUUAAAAAAAAAAAUAAUAAUAAUAAUAAUAAUAAUAAACAUACCAAUAAUGAUAAUUUUCUUCAUCAGCGUGGUUGUCAUGACCGUAAAGAGGAAUCCGAAAAUGACAGCUGACGACGCAAUUAUCGUCGAAUUGACGUACACUGCAGACUCAACGUCGGGCUGUAAAUCAAAAAGCGUUAUCUCGCUGCGCAAUCGUGUCACGCUGCAUCAGCCAUUCGUUUCUCUUACCAUCAAGGUGUAAUUGCAGGACGAAUAGUCGACAUCAGCCUGAAUCCGCGGAAAAAGCAUUUCGCACAUCGUUAUGGUUUUGUCGGGGUUAAACGACCGGACGAGAACUCGGAAAUUGUUCAACGUUAUGAACAGUUGAGGCACCCACAGUCUCAUCGUGUUGAAGCUGGAAUGUUUGUUUUAGCGUUGAAGAAAGCGAUGCGUGUAAUACGAUUUGCUAAAGUUGAAAAUCUCACCCUAGCAUACUGGUGAAUUGCAGGGCCAGGAGAAUUAGAAAUACCCUCGAGUAGGCUUGCGAGAACAGCAUUUUCAGCUUCGAGAUACUAUCUUGCAAGCUCUCCCUGCAAAUAUUUUUUAAACUGUUCCUCAUUUUUUGUCGAGCUACGAGUGUCUUAAUCUUACAAAUCGGAACAAUGGAAAUAACGUUAGUGAAGUUUGCGUACUCGGUUAUAAAAGAACUUCGAGAUUCAGAGUUACGUACCUUGAACGAGCUUGCGGACUCGAAGAAGUUCAUGCUGUACAUGGUCUUCAAUACCCGAAGAGCUUCCUUGCUCUCGCCCUGAGUCAAGAGAUAUUUCGGGCUCUUCGGCAUCAGACACACCAUAAUCGCUCCCAUUAUCGAAGGUAUCGUGCAAAUCAGCACGUAGACUCGCCAGGUCUCGUAGAAGUAGUUGAAAAUCGUAAAAUUCAACCAGUGGGUGCGCAGUAUAAAUACCGAUGCUAGCGCUGCAAAAAAAUUAACAUUUUAUCUUCCGUGAGAAAAAAUGAGAAAGCCUCUCUCGCAUACCUGGUGGAAAAAUGUUCGAAAUAACAAAGAGUAGACUGGCCCAGUUGGUGAACGUCUGCUGAUAAGUGGGCGCGUGGAACUCCGAGAGAUAGGGCAUGAGCAGUGACAAUGGACCAGCGAUCCUGCGAUUAUUCUCAAAAUUAGUGCAACACUGCAGAAAACUAUUGGCCAACGUCUGUUUGCACCUCCCGUGCGUGUACUCACAGUAUUCCAUUGAGAAACUUGUACAUUACGAAGGAGUAGUAAGAGGUGGCGUGAGCCCAAAGGAUGUUGCAUAUCGAGUCAAGCACUAGUCCAAAGAUAAUCACGUUACGCUUUCCCGAGAACGAGCUAAUCGCGCAGUCUUGGAAGAUGAAAUCCCAGAGCGGCCCAGCGAUGAUCAUCCCUAAACAUCGAUAUACCGAUAUCUCGUAAUAAUGUGCACACGUGUCUUUUGCGAUAUAACUCGUCUCGCUUAAAAAUCAGAAUAGAACCUAUGUACACAAUGCCAACGGCGACGCCUCUGCGAAACAGGGUCAGUUCGAAGUCGCACUCGGUGGACUGGAUGAAGAAGGCCGUGAUCGUGGUGUCGAGGACGCAGGUCCAGCCGACGGGCAGAGCUGCCAGGAGCAUAAGUAUGUUGAAGAGUCCGUAGCCUAUUCGCAAACGAGACGUCGCUUAUCAUUUUCUAUGCAUCGAUGGAUAUUUGUAUUCAAUCGUUUAUCGCGUGUCCGAACCCGCGCGUUAUCUGAUGUAUAUAACAUUGAUCCUUGAUUAUAUUUUAAUAUGCAUGAAAGUGUCGGUAUCGGAAAGUUUCUCUCGAUUAUUUUCCGAGAAACUUUUGUUCGUGCCAUCGGCUUGGGAGGAAAUUUUUCGAAUUUAAUCGAGGAAGGCUAGCGUGGAAAGAUACAGAUUUGCAAUAGUUCGAAACGUAUAAUCUAUUAAAAGACAUUCAUGUCGAACGAAAAUAAGAUCGUUUAUCUGUCGCAUAUACUACAGUUUACACAGUUUUAUAACCAGAUUAAGACACUUGUCGCCGCGUACACGUAACGUUAUUGCAGUAGAAUACGAAUCGAAAAGAAGGAUCCAAUUACACAUCAAUCGAAAACCCAUCGUUAAUUUAACCACGAGGCCACAUACCUGUCGUAGCGAUGGCCUUCUCGUAAUCCGCAGGAUUCUGAUACUCCUCUGCCGUAAUCCAAGCAUGAAAAAAAAAAAAAAAAACGAAAAGAAAAGCAAACCUCGGUUAAA
rnacentral:lncRNA from 1 species